rnacentral:rRNA from 1 species
CCAGACUCCUACGGGAGGCAGCAGUGGGGAAUAUUGCACAAUGGGGGAAACCCUGAUGCAGCGACGCCGCGUGAGUGAAGAAGUAUUUCGGUAUGUAAAGCUCUAUCAGCAGGGAAGAAAAUGACGGUACCUGACUAAGAAGCCCCGGCUAACUACGCGCCAGCAGCCGCGGUAAUACGUAGGGGGCAAGCGUUAUCCGGAUUUACUGGGUGUAAAGGGAGCGUAGACGGCAUGGCAAGUCAGAUGUGAAAGCCCGGGGCUCAACCCCGGGACUGCAUUUGAAACUGCCAGGCUGGAGUGUCGGAGGGGUAAGCGGAAUUCCUAGUGUGGCGGUGAAAUGCGUAGAUAUUAGGAGGAACACCAGUGGCGAAGGCGGCUUACUGGACGACUACUGACGCUGAGGCUCGAAAGCGUGGGGAGCAAACAGGAUUAGAUACCCUUGUACA